rnacentral:rRNA from 1 species
AAUCGUGACUCGGGUUACCGCGGCUGCUGGCACGGAGUUAGCCGGUGCUUCUUCUGUGAGUGAUGUCCGUUCCUGCCGGCUAUUAACCCGCAGGCCUUCUUCCUCACUGAAAGUGCUUUACGAACCCGAAGGCCUUCUUCACACACGCGGCAUGGCUGGAUCAGGGUUGCCCCCAUUGUCCAAUAUUCCCCACUGCUGCCUCCCGUAGGAGUCUGGGCCGUGUCUCAGUCCCAGUGUGGCUGAUCAUCCUCUCAGACCAGCUACGGAUCGUCGCCUUGGUGAGCCGUUACCUCACCAACCAGCUAAUCCGACAUAGGCUCAUCCGAUAGCGCGAGGCCCGAAGGUCCCCCGCUUUCCCCCGUAGGCGUAUGCGGUAUUAGCCUGGGUUUCCCAGGUUACUCCCCACUACCGGGCAGAUUCCUAUGCAUUACUCACCCGUCCGCCGCUCGCCACCAGGGAGCAAGCUCCCCGUGCUGCCGCUCGACUUGCAUGUGUUAGG